rnacentral:rRNA from 1 species
CCUACGUGCGGCAGCAGUGAGGAAUAUUGGUCAAUGGGCGCGAGCCUGAACCAGCCAAGUAGCGUGAAGGAUGACUGCCCUACGGGUUGUAAACUUCUUUUAUAAAGGAAUAAAGUGAAGCACGUGUGCCUUUUUGUAUGUACUUUAUGAAUAAGGAUCGGCUAACUCCGUGCCAGCAGCCGCGGUAAUACGGAGGCUCCGAGCGUUAUCCGGAUUUAUUGGGUUUAAAGGGAGCGUAGAUGGGUUGUUAAGUCAGUUGUGAAAGUUUGCGGCUCAACCGUAAAAUUGCAAUUGAUACUGGCAGUCUUGAGUACAGUUGAGGUAGGCGGAAUUCGUGGUGUAGCGGUGAAAUGCUUAGAUAGCACGAAGAACUCCGAUUGCGAAGGCAGCUUACUAAACUGCCACUGACAUUGAUGCUCGAAAGUGUGGGUAUCAAACAGGAUUAGAUACCCGGGUAGUC